AUGCCGGUGCUGCGGCGAAUUGACCGGAUCAAUGCGUCCUCGGUGAUUAUCCGCCAGAUCCCGGCUUUCUCCGGAUCUCCCGGCCAGAAUGUGACACUGAAUUGUCAUGCAGAGGGGAGUAUCAACGCUGGUGAUUGGUUGUUCUGGUACAGGCAGUACCCGGGUAAGGGGCUUGAGAACAUUUUCUUCUCGACAGUAGCCAUGAGUGUGCAGCCAGAGGGCUCAGUGGACAGUUUUAAGGCAGAGAGACCGAGUAGCGACGUCUUCAAGCUGAAGUCCUCCGGCUUGGAGGCGAAUUCGUCGGCCGUUUAUUUCUGCGCCUGGAGUUGUCACAGCGACUCAGGCGGACGGGGGAGCUGA